CGUACGGAGCAGAGAGAGAGAGAGAGAGAGAGAUAGAGGUGUUAGAGAGAAUAAUAAGAUGAAAGAUUAAUUUUUGAUAAAGAUAAACUCCAGAACCGAGAGUCUUAAGAGAUCGAGCGUCGAGUGGAGGAAGAAGAAGAGCGAAAUCAUCGACAAGGGUUGAGCAUCUGCAUCACACUAGUAAUCUAGUAAUGAUGAGAUUCAAGAAAGGAAGUAAAGUGGAGGUACUGAACAAGAAGGAGGUGCCUUCAGGUGCAUGGCGUUGUGCUGAAAUAAUCUCUGGGAAUGGGCACACUUACCAUGUUAUGUAUGAUUGGCCUCCAGGCACCAACAAUGAAGGAGCUUUUGAUAAAGUGUCCAGGAAAGUCAUUAGGCCUUGUCCACCCCCAGUAGAAGGUGCAAAUGAUUGGGUGCCUGGUGACCUUGUUGAGGUAUUUGACAACAAUUAUUGGAAAAUCGCAACAAUUUCAAAGGUUAUGGGUGGAAACCGCUUUUUUGUCAGACUCCUUGGAUCUCCAGUGGAAUUCAGAGUCCACAAAUCUGAUCUCAGGGUGCGGCAAUCUUGGAUAGAUAACAAGUGGGUUCUGGUUGGAAAGGGUUCUGCACAUUGUGAAGAUGGGAAAUCUAACAAAUUAUCAACUUCAAGGUUUUACGAGAAGCCAAACUUCCAGGCGCUGCUAAAAUGUAGAAAGACAAAUUUGUGUGCUGGAGAUGGUCCUUUGCCUGUUGAGUACAAUUGUUUCCAGGAGUCCCACAUGGUUUCCUCAAGAACGCGGAAGAGGGGCUCUCCUUAUUGCUCAUCCCAUGUUGAUGCACUUACUGGAGCUAACUGCAAAUUGAGAUUGGUUGAGAAUGAUGGUAGGCGUCAAAGACUGAUUACAGGGCAUCCAUCCCCAGUCCUUGGAAAGGGCCGAAGUUGGGGGCUUGUACAACUUGCUUCCAAAGGUCUAAGGAUGAUGGCCAGCUAUGAGCCUGCUGUCUGUGCUGAAUGAAGUCAAAACAGAAACUUCUAGAAGCUGCUAUUGAAUGUCCUGAUAUGUGGAUGCAUUAGAGGUGAUUCUUGAAGCAGACGCGAAUUUGUUGCUUUGCUAGGUCACCGGUCAGAAUAACCUUCAUGUGGUCUCUCUUUAUAUCAACUGGCUGCUGACUUCCGCUGUCUUAUUCAGUUUCAAUUCUAGUCACUCAGGAUCAGUAAGCUUAGUUGUCUAGAGAUACUAUGAUCCUAUUCUGCCAUCAGAACCUUGCUCUUAUCAUCUAUUAAUUCUCCUGAAAAUGUUGGUUCUCCAUUAAACAUUAAACCAUUGCAAGACUGAAGCUGCUGAUCUAAACCAGGCAAGAGCUGCUGCUGAUGAAUAUACUGCCUUGAGAAUAAUAUGUUGAUGUGCCUUCCAUGCCAACCAAUUGUCUUUACUUUUGAUUGCCAGGUCUUGGGAUCAAAUCCCACUUUUGAUUUGUUGUAUGUGCCUCAUCUGUUCCACUCUUCCCUCCCCUCAGUGCUGUAGCACUUGAUGAGCAGAUCAAUUUCGUUGUUCUCACACGAUGUAAACUAUGGAUGUGAAGUAGUUCAUUGCAAUCAGUUUCAGCAGGAUAAUUGGUGCAAUGGAAAAAUCUAGCCUCAAUAUAAAUUUUGUAGGUGUCAUCCGAGAAGUAUACACUCCACAAGACAUGCAGCAGCUGCUCGGCGUGUUGUUUCUUACUGGUCACCAUUAGUUAGCUUCAAAAGGAACUGAGCCAAGCCUGCUGGGCAUGGCUUAUAAUUAGUAGGGCACACUGCGUUUCUACUUUCUACCAUAUUUUGGCGUUUGCCAACUGUCCAAGCUCCUUUCGUCUGCUACCCCAUUCUUGAUUGGGUGGUCUCUUCAAUAUCUCACUGCAUGGCAAGUCUUUAUCAUCAGAUGGCCAUGUACUUUUGCAGACCCAGUACAUUUUGGACUUUCUACAAGCAGAGUAACCUGUUGAUGGAUUCCUUUACCCAGUCUAGGCAUACUGCAACCAGUAUCUCUCCCUCCAUUGAGGAUUGUACCUGGUGGUGAUGGAAUUUACUUCCUAUUUUUGUCUUGGGGCGCCAGCAAUCAUCCAAUUGAUGCUGCUUAUUAGGGUACUAUAUUCAAUCAUGCCAACUUGUGAAUGUACCAUGGAAGAACUUUUUCUUUAUUGUCCAUGUCAUAUUCUAGUAAAGUUCUUAUUUCCAAAA